AUGGAGGAGAAGAGCGUGUAUGAUCAUGAUGAGGCCGGGCAUAUGGCUGCCGCUGUGCGGGACCACAAGAUCGUCAGCGAGAUCCGUGACCAUAUGCGGCUCCUUUCGUGCGAGAGGAAUUCUCCGGCAGCUAUGAGGACGACCAGAACAUGUCUGCCUAGAAGCAGCAGAGAGAUGAGUGAAAUGAGAUAUAUUUCCUACUAUCUGGGUAAUGAUCGGGAUCGGAACUUAUCAUCCGUUGGACAAGUGGUGGUGGAGGUAAAGGUCAUGAUCAGAACUUUGAGCGAGUUCAAGAUCACAUGGGUCCGAAGGACAGCAAAUGGUGUUGCCCAUUUGCUGGCGUGCUUAGGAAUAAGCAGUAGAGCAUCGGUCCUUUGGGACUCAGUUCCCCCUAUUGUAUUCUUAGCGUUGUAUCAGACGAAAUUCCUAAUUUAG
rnacentral:rRNA from 1 species